GAGUUUGAUCAUGGCUCAGGACGAACGCUGGCGGCGUGCCUAAUACAUGCAAGUCGAGCGAAUCACCGGGAGCUUGCUCUCGGCGAUUAGCGGCGGACGGGUGAGUAACACGUGGGCAACCUGCCUGUAAGACUGGGAUAACUUCGGGAAACCGGAGCUAAUACCGGAUCAAUCUUUUCCUCGCAUGAGGAAAAGCUAAAAGACGGUUUCGGCUGUCACUUACAGAUGGGCCCGCGGCGCAUUAGCUAGUUGGUGAGGUAACGGCUCACCAAGGCGACGAUGCGUAGCCGACCUGAGAGGGUGAUCGGCCACACUAGGACUGAGACACGGCCCAGACUCCUACGGGAGGCAGCAGUAGGGAAUCUUCCGCAAUGGACGAAAGUCUGACGGAGCAACGCCGCGUGAGUGAUGAAGGCC
rnacentral:rRNA from 1 species